UCAAACUGCGAAGUUUUACGGUUUCCGCCUUUAUUUCUGUUGGCCGUUUCAGCCAAUAGUUAUAACUGCUUCGAUGAACAUUGAAGACUUCGCAUAAUGUUUUUAUGCUGUGGCUCUGCUUGAGUUUCUUGAUCAUCAAGAAUUGUUCAGUGAGUCCGACAUCAAGAGAGCCGUGGCUUUUUUUAAUAUUUCAUUAUGCUCUUCAAGACGAGCGAGCUUCUUUUUAAUUCACGAAUUUCAAUUUGCUCAGGCGUCAUUGGUGACGCUUUGGGUGCUUUGCCUUGGCGCUCUUGUUUUAAUUGGCGAACCCACUUAUCCAUCGUAGAUUUACCUACAUUCAUGGCUUGAGCCGCUUCAGUCACUGAGUAGUUUUGAACGAGAACUAAUUGUGCCGCUUCCAGUUUGAAUUCGGCACUAAAUAGCCGUCUUGUACGUUUUGUCAUAAUGUCACCUAUUAACUUAUGAGAUGAUAAUAUCACCUCUAAUUAAGUGACCAAAUUCACCGUACCACUACACAGAGAACCACGAUUGAUGAGAGUUUGAUUGUAUUGUUUCCAGUUGUUUGUUUUGUAACGUGGUUUCGGCAUGAGGCUACAGAGUGAAUGAAUGUAGCCGAUCAGAUCGUAAGCUAUUGAUUUAGUUCCAUCGAUUUACGCAACAAAGCCUCUUUUAUUAGGCAAGUGCAUUUAACAAACGCCUCAAGCGGGACUGUCAACGCGCGGCGUUUCCAGUCCCAAUGAGCCGCGGUGGUUUCGGUUGUUGUGUUUGAGUUUAGUGUUAUGCGUUGCCAGCCCCUUAGGCGGGCGUUAGCAUGUGGGUGCAAAAUGAAUAAAAUUCUCAUUAUUGGCAAUUCUGGUUCAGGUAAGAGUUGGUUGUCAGCGCAGUUGUCUCGAAAGCUCCAAUUACAUGAAGUUAACCUAGACUCAAUUGUAUGGGAGCCUGGUGGCUAUAAUCGGAAACGAUCUCCCGAAGCAAUCGAAAAUGAAAUCGUUUGCUUACGUUCUCAGCAUAGUUGGGUAGUUGAAGGUGUAUUUGGUGCCCUAGCUGAACAGCUAAUUCCUUUCGCUGAUACGCUACUGUUCUUGGAUUUGGAGUGGUCAGUGUGUGAGAACUCUCUUAAAGCUCGUGGUUCUGAGAGCUCUAAUCAGCUUGAUGUUAAACAGGCGGAGAAAAAUUUUAGUGAGUUAUUGAAAUGGGCUUCUGAAUACUCGAUUCGAGAGUCCAAAAGCUCGCUGCAGUUUCAUCAGCAAUUGUUCAGUGAUUUUCACGGCAAUAAAGUAAGAUUCACUACACGUUCACAAAUCAACGCAUUUUUGGCUGAAACGACAUGCUAACAAACGCCUCAAGAGGGACUGUCAACGCGUAGCGUUUCCAGUCCCAUUGAGCCGUGGUGGUUAUGGUUGUUGUGUUUGAGUUUAGUGUUAUGCGUUGCCAGCCCCUUAGGCGGGCGUUAGCUUCUUAAAGCGAAAAUCAUCAAAAUCUGUGUUUAAUUGCUUUGGAAAUUCAGCUUUUAGCAUUCAAAUUUCACAGCUUGGCUUUCGAGUUUUCUGAUGCUGAUUUGGUAGAAAUUGUUGAAUGUUCAGCAGUUUCAAAGUUGCUGAAAACUAUCAAGCCUCGAUGCUUCAACGCUGUUGGAUGUUCAACACUCAAAGUUUGGUUUCACAAAAGGCUGCAUCAUCGCUGUAAUCUUGCUUUCUCUGCCGCGAACUCUUAACCGUGGCCAACUUAGCCUAGAUCGUUUUAAAUUUUGGCUGCCAACUUCACAGCUUUUGGCGUUGGACGUGUGUUUUUGUGAUGCUUCUGCGUAAAAUGGCUUUCAAGAAAAUUUGUUAAAAAGUCAUUGGUAAACAAUAGGCUACGAAGCUAACAAACGCCUCAAGAGGGACUGUCAACGCGUGGCGUUUCCAGUCCCAAUGAGCCGCGGUGGUUGCAGUUGUUGUGUUUGAGUUUAGUGGUAAUGCGUUGCCAGCCCCUUAGGCGGACGUUAGCACACACAUCUCAUAAGCCGGAGCUUGUAUCCUGUUACGGUAUUUCUGUUUAAUGGUCUUUUGCCUUGGUUUAGUAUCGAGACGUAACCUUUAUUUGAGAGGCUGAAAAAUGAAAAAAUCGUUAAUGGUACUGACUGUAAUGAUUGCUUUAGUGGGUUGCGAUGAUGCAACUAAAGCGAUUGAUGAGGCUCAAGCUGCAGCGAAUAAAGCCGUAGAUAACUUGCAGCAAAAAGCGGACUCACUAAAUUUGCAAGACCUUAAUCUUGACGUUCUUGGUGAUGCGACUCAAAAAGCACAAGAGUUUACUCAGUCAAUAGAUUCGUUGAUCAAUACCGACUUCACCGAUCACCAAGCAGUUGUUGCCGCUACAGAGAAAAUUUCUAAUUCCUACAGUUGUUUAGUUGACGUUUCUUCGGAAGCAACAGCGGAAAACUUGCUAGAUAAAAUCGUAUCAUCAGUAAAGAACGAUCAAGUGUUAGCAAUUAUCGAAAAAGGCGUGGCACAAGCUAAAACGGCGAAAGAGUGUGUUAUGUAGCCAGUGUGUGCUAACAAACGCCUCAAGAGGGACUGUCAACGCGUAGCGUUUCCAGUCCCAAUGAGCCGCGGUGGUUACGGCUGUUGCGUUUGAGUUUAGUGUUAUGCGUUGUCAGCCCCUUAGGCGGGCGUUAUGCGAUUUUUCUGACAUCAUAAGAAAUUAAGGAUAUCGAGUGGAAGUCAGUAUUUUUCAGGUAGAUUCGUUUACAUCAGAAGUGUUUAAGGGCAAUCCUGCUGGGGUAUGCAUUACAGAAACUAGCCUUGAUGAAGCGACAAUGCGAGCAAUUGCUGCUGAAAUGGCAGUGUCUGAAACGGCGUUUUUAUCGCUGAGCACGAUGCAACUGCGUUGGUUUACACCAGAAAUUGAAGUGAGCCUAUGUGGCCACGGUACUUUAGCUGUAGCUCAUGUUUUAAAAGAGCAGGGGAUUUAUAAAACGGGUGAUGUUCUUGAGUUUAAAACUCUAUCGGGUAUUUUGACUGCCCAUUUAGACGAAAAUAGCAUCCACUUGGUUUUCCCAACUCCAAUGCUUGAUAUGAAAGUGUCCCCAAACAUAGAUAUGCUCAAUUUCUUAGGGUUGCACAAUCAAACUUAAUCGCUUACGGUCAGUUUGAUAACAAGCAGAUCAUCGUCAUUGAUAAUGAGUCCUUACUCAACGAUCUUUCCCCAGAUUUCAGCGGACUAUCAAAAUUGAAGGGGCGUGGUGUUUUAGUUACGGCUAAGUCAGACUCUGGUGUAGAUUUUGUAUCGCGUUAUUUUGCGCCGUGGGUUGGAGUCAAUGAGGAUCCAGUAACAGGCUCUGCACAUUGUGCUUUGUGUGUUUACUGGUCGAAAAGGCUUGGUAAGUUUCAGCUCAAAGGUUAUCAGGCCUCAAAGAGAGGUGGUUUUGUAGAUGUGGAACUACUCAAUCCAAACCAAGUGAAGCUAUCUGGUCAAGCUGUAACGGUCUUGUCUGGUCGAAUGAAAAUCGCAUAACAAACGCCUCAAGAGGGACUGUCAACGCGCGGCGUUUCCAGUCCCAAUGAGCCGCAGUGGUUGCAGUUGUUGUGGUUGAGUUUAGUAUUAAUGCGUUGCCAGCCCCUUAGGCGGGCGUUAUGUGCUAAUGGAGAAAAUAUGAAUUCCAAGGACAUUGUACUGUCAUUCUGGAAUGCUAUGAAAACCAAUGACUUUGCCAAAGCAAGUGAGUGGUUAAGCUUAGAUUUCGAAGGUUUUUGGCCUCAGUCAGGCGAGUUGAUUCUUGGCCGAGAGAAUUUUGUAGCCAUUAAUGCACACUAUCCUGCAAAUGGUCAUUGGUUAUUCAACAUUCACUCUGUUGUAUGUGAAGGCGAU
rnacentral:rRNA from 1 species